rnacentral:rRNA from 1 species
AUUGAACGCUGGCGGCAUGCCUUACACAUGCAAGUCGAGCGGCAGCAUGGGUGCUUGCACCUGAUGGCGAGUGGCGAACGGGUGAGUAAUGCAUCGGAACGUACCCGGAAGUGGGGGAUAACGUAGCGAAAGUUACGCUAAUACCGCAUAUUCUGUGAGCAGGAAAGCGGGGGAUCGCAAGACCUCGCGCUUCCGGAGCGGCCGAUGUCGGAUUAGCUAGUUGGCGGGGUAAAGGCCCACCAAGGCAACGAUCCGUAGCGGGUCUGAGAGGAUGAUCCGCCACACUGGGACUGAGACACGGCCCAGACUCCUACGGGAGGCAGCAGUGGGGAAUUUUGGACAAUGGGCGCAAGCCUGAUCCAGCCAUGCCGCGUGAGUGAAGAAGGCCUUCGGGUUGUAAAGCUCUUUCGGCUGGGAAGAAAUCGCAUCUCCUAAUACGGGGUGUGGAUGACGGUACCAGCAUAAGAAGCACCGGCUAACUACGUG